AGAACUGUAUCAUGGACUACUACCACAAAAACUGUUCUAUACAAGGUUGUGAACAAACUACAACCCUUGUUGUAUUUACAUCUCCCUAGCUGAAACCCAUAGGCCAAGAGGGGAAAGGGCUACAGACCACAUUCCCUCCAGUUGGUUUGUGGGUGGGCAUUCCUGUUUGAUCUUUAUUUCUAACGGACAGAUGAACUCAGACUCCCAUCUUCUUCUUGAUGAAAGUCUGAUGGGAAAGGCCAUUGAGCGACAGCUCGUGCACCUUACAGUUGUUCUCACACUACAGUAGAAAUGCUCUCUGUAAAAUGAAAUUAUUUUUACACUCCUAUCAUGCUCUGCUUCAGGGUUACCUGGAGAUUAUUGUUAACAUUUUGGUUCUGUGAUUUUUACUUUAAAUCUGGGAAUGUGAGACAGGAUGACAAUGCAGACCUUCGGUGUGAAAUAUAUUAUACUCUAUUUUCCAUGAGGUCUCCACUCACCAAACGAUUUGAGUGAAGGGCUGAUGGCCUCUUAGCUACAGCCAACACUCCCAGUUCUAAUUUGGCAAUACUUCACACUUCCUUCCUUCCUCUUGAGGGGACAAUGAGAGUCCAGUGUCCUCUUGAUCUAAGUUGCCUUCCUGGGGGACUGGGAACUUUUGUUUCUCGUGACAUUUUUCUUUGCUUCAUUAUUGAGAUCUCUCAAAUAGAUUACAUAGAUUUGGGGAUUUUCCUUUCAAAUUGAGCUGACUUUUUUUUUUAGGCUGAUUUUUUUUCUCCCCUGAUAUUUGAUAUUUAAACAAUUCCAGUUAGAUGAGUAAUCUUUCUACUGACCUAGAAAUAAUAAUAAUAAUAAUAAUAACAAUAAUAAAAUCAACAAAUAUAUGAGUUCUUAUAGAAAGUAAUAUCAUUAUAAAUUAUCUUAUGGAAAUUGCCACAUGGACCAAGAUUGAGAAACUGACAAAAUAGUCACGUGAACUAGAAGCAGAGCAGCUGCCCACUGGCUGUCAUUGUCAUUAAAAUCUAAAACAGCUUGGACAUUACCAUUGCUGUUGAUGCGAAUAUCAUCACAUACCUGCGCUGCCACUCUAAGUGAUUGCAUAUCAAAGGAUGAGAAACAACGAAUGAAAAGUAAGUGUGUGGCUCCAGCAGGUUCUGCGUAUUACAACAGUUACUUGAACUUCCAGUUUUUAAUUGUAUGAAUGUUCAGACUCCUGUUUUCCUUGUGCAUGGAGGCUGGCACCUGGCCAAGGGGUAGAAUGUGUCCCUGAGUUGUGCUAUGCCUCGGAUUUCAUCCCCAGGGCCACCGUCAGUUAGCUCUAAGCAAAUAAAUAGAACGUGGGGAGCUGAAGCAAAGAAAGCCUCGUCAACUUCUCAGAAACAGAUCUGUGCAAUAUUAGUUUAUAGAAACAAAAAUAUAGGUCAUUUGCCGUAAAAUGACACGAUGUGAGAAAAUGCCCUCCCUAAGGGGAAGAGAGUGAUGUCAUGCCUUUGCUGUAAGCUGUUGUUUGUGUUUUAGAAGAUACAUAGACACUAUCUUCAAAAAAUCAUAAACAUGUGUUCUGUUUCUGGUUAACAGAAACUUUCAUCUUGUAUAAAGACUCUCCACUUGGUGUGGUGGCACACCUUUAAUCUUAGCACUUGGGAGGCAGAGCUCUGUGUUUGUAGCCGUCCUGGUCUAUAUACCAAGUCUCAGAACAGCUGGGGCUACAAAAUAGAGAGAAACUGUCUCAGAAAUCCAAGACAAAACAAGUCUCCAAUUGGCCACAGCAUAUCAGGAUAACAGAAAUUACACACCUAAGUGUAUGCUAAUAUCUUUACAUCUUGCAGAUGUUAUUUCACAACCAGGCAGUAUCCAUGAAUUUUCCUAAACAAUGUUACCCUUAGCUAUUUUAUGUUAUUCAUAAUUUAGAGUCUUAUAUAUAUACCUAAAUUUGAUUUCAAUUUUUUUUCUUACCUUUCCUCAAAGUUGUAAAAUAAUUUCACCAAAAUUUAAAGACAUAGAGGGAGGAGGGAGAGACCAUAUUAAUAUGAUCAAAUGUAUUGAUACUCUACUGUGCAUGUUUAAGUGUAAUAGUGGUAGAGUAAUUACUGAUAUUAAGCUAUAAAUUAUCAUUAAAAAGUUGAUUCUAGUUUUUAGCACACAGACAGUUAAAUAAAAUGAAAUGCCAUUUUUUUUCAGUAAAUGUGCAUUGGUUUCUAAAAUGUGGAAGGCAAUACUAGGUGCAGGCAGCUUACAUUAAGACCAGCUGAGUAUCAGGCUGAGGCAAGUGAGCAUACAGCAGCCAGAGUGUGUACACUCUGACACUUGAAUGAGGUGGCUUAAUGAACACUUUGCACUUUUCAUGGGAGGAAUCGUUCUAUCGCCCGUUUAGUCCCGCUUUGGGCUCUUUCUGAAUUGUAGUGCACCACCUGUUUGUUGACUAUACAGUUCCCAGGAAAAACCCAGGCUGGAUCCUGCCCUGCCUUUCACUCUUCUUAAAGAUACUUCAGAAGUGACGUGGUGCUUCCUCCGUCCCUUAUUACGAACCCUCUAGAAAUAGAAAUAAAUUACCAUCCAUCCAUGUAAGUAAUAGUGAAAAUUACAAAAUGGAAUACAAAAUUACGUAUGAAAAACGCAGCUUAAAUCCCUCCACGACUUAGGAAGAAAACAUCCUCUCUGUGCACAGCAUCAUUGGCCCUUUUUAGUUUGGUUUGUUUUGUUUAAUGUCCAGCACCUCCAGAUUUUCAAGGGCGUGUGUAGCAUUUAUUUGAUGUAUGGAUGCAGAGGCACAUCUCCCGCAUUUGUCUCUGUGGACCUACCCUUUGUGAAAUCCUAAACCCUGGUAUUAACGCUUGCAUGGUCUGAGUCAUGGUUCUUCUGAGAGAAUUAUAUAAUUUUUAGGGUAUUUGUUUGAUAUACGUG
rnacentral:lncRNA from 1 species